UAGUCCACGCCGUAAACGAUGGAUACUAGGUGUCCGGGAUAUUAACCUCCUGGGUACUACAGUUAACGCGUUAAGUAUCCCGCCUGGGGAGUACGGUCGCAAGGCUAAAACUCAAAGGAAUUGACGGGGGCCCGCACAAGCGGUGGAGUAUGUGGUUUAAUUCGAAGCAACGCGCGGAACCUUACCAGGGCUUAAAUGCAGUUGGACAGGGGUGGAAACACCCCCUUCUUCGGACUGAUUGCAAGGUGCUGCAUGGUUGUCGUCAGCUCGUGCCGUGAGGUGUCAGGUUAAGUCCUAUAACGAGCGCAACCCCUGUGGUUAGUUGCCAGCGAGUAAUGUCGGGAACUCUAGCCAGACUGCCGGUGCAAACCGUGAGGAAGGUGGGGAUGACGUCAAAUCAUCACGGCCCUUACGUCCUGGGCUACACACGUGCUACAAUGGUAGGUACAGAGAGCAGCCACUGCGCGAGCAGGAGCGAAUCUAUAAAACCUAUCUCAGUUCGGAUCGGAGUCUGCAACUCGACUCCG
rnacentral:rRNA from 1 species